UACGAAGGGGGCUAGCGUUGCUCGGAAUCACUGGGCGUAAAGGGUGCGUAGGCGGGUUUUUAAGUCAGAGGUGAAAUCCUGGAGCUCAACUCCAGAACUGCCUUUGAUACUGAAAGUCUUGAGUAUGGGAGAGGUGAGUGGAACUGCGAGUGUAGAGGUGAAAUUCGUAGAUAUUCGCAAGAACACCAGUGGCGAAGGCGGCUCACUGGCCCAUUACUGACGCUGAGGCACGAAAGCGUGGCGAGCAAACAGG
rnacentral:rRNA from 1 species